GGAGGCAAUGUAAUUUCUAACCUUUGCUCAAAUAAACCUAACAGCAAAAUAGAUCUCUCUGCUGCUGAAAACCUAGAGCCACAUUAGUAUCUGUCAUGUAUGCUCAUGUUAGAUAUAUGUUUCUUGUUCAGCAAUAUUAUAUUCAUUUCUUUUUACUACAGGCCCUAUCUGUUAUAUUCUCUGUGGAUAUUGUAUCUACUUCACAUAUAAUUUCAAUAAAUUCCCUCAAAUUGGUCAACUCCAGCCUCUGUAUUAAUAAGAAAUGAAGAAUAUUGUUUUAUAAAGUGGUUUAGUAGUGACUGGAGCCAAAGCUACUACUGUCUUUUUCAGUAGUAUUGUUCAAGAACCAUAAACCUAUAUUGGAACAAUUUUAUUUGUUUGGAACAUAGAGACAUAAUCACAAUUUAGGAUCAUGUUUCCUGUGAACCUUGCUUAUUUUCUACAAUAUUUAGCGUCUGCUCAGAAUAGCAGAAAACAGAUUGGUACUGAGUCAGGGUUUGUAGGCAUUGAUUUUACACAGUAUUUCUCUACCCUGCACGGUGCACUGAUCUCUCUUUAAGCCUAUGCAAAUAGUGGAAUGUGUUUUACCAUACACUGGCAUUUGACUACCUCUGUGUGGAUAAAGAUUUUUUGUUCAAAGGAACUUUUUGUGUUGUAAAUGAAGAAUAUUUCUCUUUGCUUCAGCUAGGGCCUGAUAAUGUGAUAAUGUGUGGCAUUUUUAUCUUUUUCUUUUCAAUUUGUUCUUAAGAGUUCAUUUUGUUCUUAAGAGAUGUAAAUAUAUAAAGAUUUGGGAAAUAUCUGGAAUUUCAGAUUUCAGAAUCUGAAUUCUACAGGAGGUAAGCUCAUGGAAUGAGCUCACUGAAUGCUUUUUGUGCUUUAAUAAGAGGUUUUCCAAUAAUUUUGAGUUCUUUCCACAUAUUUAUCCCACAAGACUCUCAUAUAUUGAAUUUGGACACAUUAGUCGCGUAUGGUGCUAUGUUUCAUAAUGUUGAUAACACACCAUUGUUUUUGUUGUUGCUGAGCUGUGCUUACACAGAAGGUCAGAGUCUUUCCUGCUUCUUGUUCUGCCCUGCCAGUGAGAAACUUUUUGGGCCCCUCACUAUAAGGAAGACACUGAGUUCCUGGAGCUUGUCCAGAGAAAGGCAACGAAGCUGGGUAGGACAGAACCAGGACAGCUGAUCCAAACUGGACAAGAAUAUGCUUCAUACCAUAUGAUGCCAUGCUUACUAAGAAAAGGAGGAAGAUGUACCCAUUGUAAAUCUGUCUUCUGAAGCAACUACUGAUGACCUGCUUCCUGGAAAUCAAAAUUUGCCAAUGAAAAUAAGACAGUAUGCAAGGAGAGAGAAAAGCUACAAGCAAAGUCGGGUCAGUAUCCCACAGAAAGCUGAAUGUGUGUGAAGAAGCCAACAGGAAAGGGAGAAGAAAAGAGCAUGGAAAUAGUUUCCUAUUUUUCACCACCAAAGUAAUAGCAACAAUAAGCAAUGACUGAAAGACAGAUAUAUCUAUUAAUUAUUUGCCAGUAUCUGGGAAGAUGGUGAGUGUUCUGAAGGUUGCAUUGACCAUUUACUGGAAGGAUGAAGUGUGGUGGAAGACAGCAGCAAGCUGUGAAGGUAAAUGACAAAUACUACGAAUGCCUAAUGGAGAGGAAAAGUUUCUGCAAUGAAGCAUUGCUAAGUGUCACUGAGAUGAGAAGUGCUUCGUAUCACCUGGUAAAUGGCAACUUAAUUUAGACUUCACUAUCUACCAGCACUGAAAACAGACCCCAAGACUGUAAGGAAGUGAUACUGAAGGACAAGAGAAGAAAACUUGAUCUUCUAAGUGCCACACUCCUAAACUUGAGAAAGGGACUCUUAAAUCUUUAUACUCCAGAUGCUGCAAGGCCAUCUGUUUCCAGAGUGCUGGUCCAAAGAUAUUUUUCCCUUCCUUCGACUAUGGGUGUUUGCUGUGAGUAAUUACACACUUAAGCCUUCAUGUCAGUAAAAUCUACUCAGGUACUUUGGCAUUUAUUUUCUCAAGCUCCUUAAUGCUAU